rnacentral:misc_RNA from 1 species
CUUUUAAUAAUUAAACCAUUUUUAACACAUUACUCGUCAGAUAACAUAACAAUUGAUUUUAAAAUACACAUCUGGGGCAGGCUCAAACUUGACAAUACAACCUUCCUAUCAAAAUCUCCUUGUAGAUGUUAACAAUACAAUAUUACGCGCCAAAUACGGAUCAGCAGGACAGGAAAAAAUGCCUGGUUUAUCAUGACAUACCCAUCAUCAUAUAAAUAUUUUGAAGAACAACCAAGAUAAAACUUGCUUUCACUGACAGUGGGCCGAGUCACUUUUUCACCUUGGUUCAGUUUCAACCUUCAAUAGCUUAUCCAAACACUAAGCUCCAAGUAUUCAUUUCUGCUUGAGCCUUAUUGCACUGCCGCUCCUUCCAUUCCUAAGCAGCCUUCUCACAAUUGUCCUUUUUUCUUUUUU